rnacentral:rRNA from 1 species
UACGUAGGGUGCGAGCGUUGUCCGGAAUUUAUUGGGCGUAAAAGAGCUCGUAGGCGGUCUGUUGCGUCCGCUGUGAAAACUCGGGCUUAACCCCGAGCCUGCAGUGGAUACGGGCAGACUAGAGGUAGGUAGGGGAGAAUGGAAUUCCCGGUGUAGCGGUGAAAUGCGCAGAUAUCGGGAGGAACACCGGUGGCGAAGGCGGUUCUCUGGGCAUUCCUGACGCUGAGGAGCGAAAGUGUGGGGAGCAAAACAGG